GCUAUCUUUUCGUCUUCUUUCUAG
rnacentral:sRNA from 1 species